rnacentral:lncRNA from 1 species
GCUCCACAUGUUCUAUUGGGAAAAGGCUCUACAGUAUUUUUAUGAGAUUUACUUUUGUCCUUCCCAAUUCAAGAAGGCAAAUCACUCACAAUCUUCCUUUCAUAGAUAAAUAAAGGGCAUAGGAAAAAGAGUAGGUCACCAAAGUUUGGGAAGGAAGUCAAUGGGAAACCAAGGUUUGCCUCCUCAGCUCUUGGGUUCUCAGCAGUCUCUUAAUUCAGGCUUCCCCUCCACCCUCAAAAAAGACCUCCAGGGAAGGAGCUCAGUGCCCUCUGACUCC